UUAAAAAAUCACCACUUGGUAUACAUUCAUACAAAGAAUCAUUACCGAGUUAUAUUUUUCUAAACAAUUGCAAAACUAAACGAGAUAACCACUUUGUAUACAUUCAUACAAAUCAUUACAAGUUAAAUUCUCUUUUCAAAACCUUUUCUAAACCGCUUUCAAAAUUAAACGAGAUAAAUACUUUGUAUACAUUCAUACGAG
rnacentral:lncRNA from 1 species